AUUGAACGCUGGCGGCGUGGAUAAGACAUGCAAGUCGAACGGGAUUUUAUUUGUAGCAAUACACGUAAAGUCUAGUGGCGUAAGGGUGCGUAACACGUGGGCAAUCUGCCGAGAAGUGGGGGAUAGCUCGCCGAAAGGCGAAUUAAUACCGCAUGUGGUUAGUGAAGACAUCUUCGCGAUACCAAAGCCGGGGCAACCUGGCGCUUCUUGAUGAGCCCGCGGCCUAUCAGCUAGUUGGUGAGGUAACGGCUCACCAAGGCUAUGACGGGUAGCUGGUCUGAGAGGACGACCAGCCACACUGGAACUGAGACACGGUCCAGACACCUACGGGUGGCAGCAGUCGAGAAUUUUUCUCAAUGGGGGAAACCCUGAAGGAGCGACGCCGCGUGGAGGAUGAAGGUCUUCGGAUUGUAAACUCCUGUCAUUUGGGAACAAUUGUUGGCGAUUAACUGUCGUCAGCUUGAUAGUACCAGAAGAGGAAGAGACGGCUAACUCUGUGCCAGCCGCCGCAGUAACAC
rnacentral:rRNA from 1 species